CCCGGGCUAAACCCAGCGGACGGUGGCGCACAGCCGCGUCUCGGCCUCGGGCCUCGGCGUUUCGUCCCUGCUUCCAACACGCCUCGAUCCAGAUCCAGAUCCAGUCCAGGCAAUCCCUUGCGGUCUCCCCCCGAGACUAUUCCAUACAUUCGCCCGUAGCGGUAGAGGCGCCCGCCGCCUCGUCCUCGACUCCCUCGUCGUCCUCGCUCGUCCGCCGCUUGGGGUGCAGACUCCGGUUCCUAGAAGCGCAGCAUGGCCAAGCUCAAGCCAAAGGCGUUGCUGGCACAAAGCAAAGUGAAGAAGGGCCCCAGCCAAAUCAGUGUGGCCACGAUCUUCACUUACUUGGUCCUUGGCGCCGUAGUCGUGUCCUCUGUUUAUGCUGCUUACAAAUACUGGGUAGGCAAAGGACCAGCAGUGACAGCAGCAGGCGUCGAGGGGAAUUAAACCCCAAACUAUGUAACUGAUUUUGUUGUUGUAUCAUCCAGUUGGAUAAUUUUGGUGCUGCAGCCCAGUAAAAGGAACAUGGAUAGAUUGUAUCUUGCUACAGUUUUAUUGUAAACCGUGGGUACAUUAUAUUGAUAUAUGUAUGCUAAAUUCCUUUCUUCGA